AGUGCUCACUUCUAUCCUUUUCAGCUUUUAAAGUUUGUCUCCUAAUGUUGAUCCUGGAGUUGAAAAUGCUAGUAUUCUUUCGAGAUAAGGUAACGGUCUAUCCUCUCAUGGGAACACAGUUUAAUCAGAAAAAUUGCUAAUACGGCAUGAGACGGUUUAUAGAUAGGUUUCAAUUUCAGUCCUAGUGUUAUUAUGUUGUCUUUGUUUUCAAGUACAGUAGCAAAACCUCGCUUUCUUUACUCACACAUACACAGUGCAACGUCCUCUUGACUUCUAAAGUGAAAAAUCGAUGGAAAGUUAAAAGUUUAUAAAGAUUUGGAUGGGAAAAAAAUGUCCUGAAAAUUGAGAUUUCUACCCCACAAAUCUGUCUUCUACCUUUUCUGAAAGCUUUGGUGUCUCUCAAGAGCGAGUGUCACCUACACUGAGGACUUUAAAGCCUUCUGUCUCGCUCAUCCUCUCUCGCUACAGUUAGCUUCCUUCUCUCCAGGGACUUCCCAGUCUGACUCCCCACAUCAAUCGUCUGUCACAUUUUUUUCUUCCUACACCCGUCAUCCACUUCCUUUUCCCUUCCUUCACCUCUAUACCGCUCUUCGCCUUGAUCUUCUCGCUCAUUUUCUUUUCUCCCUUCCUCAGCUUUCAUUCAUUCGUUUUAUCCUCCCUAAGGCGACUCAUCUCUGUCUGAUUCUCCUUUCCUUUGCCGUCACCCUCUGUGUGCCAGCCUGUGCACUGCAGCUGCGCCCAGCUGGCAGUCCUUGCUCUGCAGAAUUAAUGGUCCCAUUAUCUGUCUGUCUCUGUUCAGAUACUUUCACACACAGGCCACCUGCCAUGGCAGCGCCAACCCGCAGUCGUGGACAAUCAGAAGGUACAUUUGAAGGACUUUUAAAGUGCUGCGAUGAAAGUAGAAUAAUCAACUUUAAAGCCUGUUGCGGGAGUGAUGUUGACUUUCUAGUGAGAUGAUCCAGUGCAAUCCCAGUACACGGGAAUAUGGAGGAAAUGUGCAGAUGUUGUUAAACUGUUCCCAUCUUUGCUCUCCAUGGUGACUUCCACAGAGUCCUCCUUUUGCAGGUUGUUGGUGAGCUUGAGAGUGUCAAACGACACUGUCUGCUUCAUCCACUGGGCUCCAGGGGCCGGGAUGAAGUCCAUGAGCAGAACAUACUCGGCUGAAGGAUCCAUUCCAGAGAUUCUCACCUGAAAUGUUGGAAACAUCCUCCUACCGUUUUAUGAAUAUA